CCCCCCCCCCACAACUGUAGGUCACUUUAAAAACACUUGAAGUUUAUUAUUAUAUCAUUUAAUAAGUUACAGACAGGCUUAUAACUGCACCUAUAAAUGACUGUCUGCUAAGAGACAUUAAAACAUUAAUGUGCUCAUGCUGUCAGUUCAGGGUUGCUGCUUCACUUUUAUUUCAGGAUACUUUCUUUUGAUUGUCUAUCAAUACAGCUGCUGUCAGACUUCAAGCUCUAAUGAGGACAGUGCCAUCCAAUCCCUGUCAAAGUCACUCUGGUUUGGAGGUGGGGCAUAUGUGCUGAUGGGGGCUUGGUGUGGUGUUUCCAUUUGAAAUAAAGAGAUAAUAACACUUCUUAUAGCGGAGAGCAGAACAGAAAACACUGCUACUGCCUAAAUUGAUGACGAGGGAUUCAAUUGGAGUAUUUGAGGUGUUAGAGCUUUAUUUCUUACAAUGCAGGACCGAACCUAACACUGUUAUCAUGGUCACCUUAAUGCCAGCAGAGAAAAUCAGUAUUAAAGGCUGACUAACAAGCACUGUGUGUGUGUGUGUGUGUGUGUGUGUGUGUGUGUGUGUGUGUGUGUGUGUGUGUGUGUGUGUGUGUGUGUGUGUGUGUGUGUGUGUGUGUGUGUGUGUGUGUGUGUGUGUGUGUGUGUGUGUGUGUGUGUGUGUGUGUGUAAAAGUCAAGUUACCCCUGGGGAUUUCAUUACUGCAGUCUUUUCUUCUUUCUUUUUUUUUUUUUUACAUCAUCCACAGCCUGAGCCGCUGUGUGCAUGUGUUGUUAAAAUUUCAAAUACACAGGUGAAAAACAAUUUGCCAAACAGGAACAUUUUUAAUUUGAGGAUGCCCUUUAUGAUAAUUAAGUAACACUGUUUUUUUCUUUUCUUUUCCAUUUUGGCCAACUGAUUUCAAAACACCCCAGGGUUAUGAAAACUAGUUCUGUGUGUUAAUUCAUCUCCUCUCCUCUCACAUAAACCCCUCCAUCCAUAACACCCAUAAGUUUAUCACUGUAAUACAACUACCAAGCACCACUUCCAGCCCCCAACAGCAUUAAAAUGACAGUCACAGCAUCUUUACUGAACCACUGCUCGCUGUCAGCUGCUUUGUAUGGAGUCCCAAACAUGCCGUGCUACAUUAAAAACUAAAACAUGAUGAUACACAUAAUCAGAUGAAUACAUAGAGUAAACUAUAUAAUUGAAGCAAGAGCUUGUGAAAUAAAGUAAUACAUUAUUAUUGAAACUAAAAUGUUUCUGAAUGAAAAUGUUAUUUUUUUAUCAUUAUUAUAGAGUUUUGCAAUUUGUCAUUAUUUUUAUUAUAAAAAAACAAACUAUGGCAAAAUUUCCAUUUGUUUUUUUUAAAGCCCGUUUUUUAUUUCGUGAUGUCACUCUUCAUGACAGUAGAGCUGUCAGCUGUCUCAGCCCCCUCAGUCACAUUUGAGUCAGUCACAUGCCUCUAGCCCAAGCACAGAACUCAUCUUUUUUAAAUUUGUCUUUAGAGCAUUUUGCCAGGAUCACAGUAACACUGGCACAUUAACAAAGGCUUUCAUUAAGGUGCAUUGUCUUCAUAGAUAAGAUAAAUGAAAUGUGUCUUUAAAAAGGCUACACAUGCUACCAAACCAGCUAAUGAGAGAUGUUGGCUUGUGAACUUCAUUUGUAACUAGCUAACUGAGUGAUAGUGAUGAUGUGUCUAACUGAAAGUCACACGACUCUGUGAAGAGAUGUAAAACACUUCUCUUCUCUUUGGUUGCUCAAUAGAAGCUAGCUAGAUGGAAGGUAGGGGGCAUGUGAUUGGUUAAAAGUUGAGGAGGUGGGAAUUGGUGACAACUGUGCUGUGGUGCCAUCGUGAAAUAAAAUCCAAUAAAACUGUUGAUAUAAAAAUAAGAUGAUGAAAUAACAUUUCAUAAUGAUGGUUAUUUUCUAUAUUUUACACAAAUCUAUUCAUAAGAAUAUUUGUUUUAUAAUUAAUUUAUUCUUUAUUUAAUUCUGCACUAUUUGGGCCUCCAUACCUCUGCUCCUCUUCUAGAAGUUCAGAUUUUGACAUUUUAUUCCAACAACUUGAUAUUUGUAUAUUUGACAACUUCAUCUUUCACCCUUUUUUUGGGAACUCCUCUUUGUGUAUAUAAAAAGAUGGUUGUUCAAAGCAAAAUGAUUUUUGACUGUAACCCAUUACCAUGUGUAUCAUUCAUUGGAUUUUGAUAACAAACAGGAUUUGGUUCAUCCCUUAGCUUGAUCUAAACCAUCAUUUUGUCUUCUCUUCUAACAAAUGUUGUCUGGCUAGUGGCAAGCUGUCACUCUAGCUGCUUUGCUGUGACCUGGCAGAUGGCUCAUGGAUCCACCCUGAAGUGUAUAUUUCCAUUCAUAAGAGAAUUUCAGUCUAUGGUAGAGAAACAUUGAAUAACAUAAUACUGGAGAUGUGUGUAUGCAGUGUGGGGUUUACUACAGGGUAUGUGGUCACACUUUUUACCAAGCUGGUUUUUUAAAAUAAACACACACUUCUGCUAUAAUAGGAACUAUUCUAAUAACUACAAACACACAUGCAGUACACACAUGACAUCUGCUUCUGCAGCUGUAAAGGACUUCUGUUACACAAACACUUGUAAGUGAAAGAAUAACCUCUGUUGCAUACCUGUAGGGAACCAGUCUCCCAGCUGUCUUUUGUGUUGGAGCCUGGGCUGCGUCCCAGCUCUGUUACCACGCACCCUUCCUCUGAUCCCUGCGUAGACAUAGACACUGAUCUGAUCAGUGAUUGUUUAAGGAAGCGAGGGAUGUGAACAGUUUUGGAGAAAAAAAGCCCCCCCUCUCCCCCCUCCGAGGCUUUUGAAGCCACAAAGACUUCUUCUGGAGAUGCCGGAGAGAAAUGGAUAUAGGCAUUGCAGACAAGCUGUGCACAAUUGACUUCUAUCAUGAAUUUAAUUUCAUAUUUUGACUUUUGAGUUUUAGCCAAUGAAAAAAAGAAAAAAAAGAAGGAAAAAAAAAAGAAAAA